rnacentral:rRNA from 1 species
UACGUAGGGGGCUAGCGUUGUCCGGAAUCAUUGGGCGUAAAGCGCGCGUAGGCGGCCCGGUAAGUCCGUUGUGAAAGUCAAAGGCUCAACCUUUGAAAGCCGAUGGAUACUGCCGGGCUGGAGUCCGGAAGAGGCGAGUGGAAUUCCUGGUGUAGCGGUGGAAUGCGCAGAUAUCGGGAGGAACACCGGUGGCGAAGGCGGUUCUCUGGGCCUUACCUGACGCUGAGGAGCGAAAGCGUGGGGAGCGAACAGG